rnacentral:rRNA from 1 species
ACCCAAUAGAUACCCGGGUAGUCCCAGCUGUAAACGAUGCAGGCUAGGUGUUUGGACGGCCACGUGCCGUUCUAGUGCCGCAGGGAAGCUGUUAAGCCUGCCGCCUGGGGAGUACGAUCGCAAGAUUGAAACUUAAAGGAAUUGGCGGGGGAGCACCACAAGGGGUGAAGCUUGCGGUUUAAUUGGAGUCAACGCCGGAAAUCUCACCGGGAGCGACAGCAGUGUGAAGGCCAGAUUAAAGGUCUUGCCAGACGAGCUGAGAGGAGGUGCAUGGCCGUCGCCAGUUCGUGCCGUGAGGUGUCCCUGUUAAGUCAGGCAACGAUCGAGACCCGCGUCCUCUGUUGCUACUAGCCUUGUGCUGGGCACACUGAGGAGACCGCCACUGAUAAAGUGGAGGAAGGAGCGGGGCCACGGCAGGGUCAGUAUGCCCCGAAUCUCCCGGGCCACACGCGAGCUGCAAUGGCAGUACAUGGU